rnacentral:rRNA from 1 species
AACGAACGCUGGCGGCAGGCCUAACACAUGCAAGUCGAACGAAGUCUUCGGACUUAGUGGCGCACGGGUGAGUAACACGUGGGAAUAUACCUUACGCUGGGGGAUAACAUCGGGAAACUGAUGCUAAUACCGCAUACGCCCUUCGGGGGAAAGAUUUAUCGGCGAAAGAUAGCCCGCGUCCGAUUAGCUAGUUGGUGAGGUAAUGGCUCACCAAGGCUCCGAUCGGUAGCUGGUCUGAGAGGAUGACCAGCCACACUGGGACUGAGACACGGCCCAGACUCCUACGGGAAGCAGCAGUGGGGAAUAUUGGACAAUGGGCGCAAGCCUGAUCCAGCCAUGCCGCGUGAGUGAUGAAGGCCUUAGGGUUGUAAAGCUCUUUCACCCACGACGAUGAUGACGGUAGUGGGAGAAGAAGCCCCGGCUAACUUCGUG